GCUUAGUAGCUUAGUUGGUAUUGCGUCUGCCUUGUAAGCGCUAGGCCGCGGGUUCGAUUCCCGCCCUGGGCG
rnacentral:tRNA from 1 species